rnacentral:rRNA from 1 species
GACGAACGCUGGCGGCGUGCCUAAUACAUGCAAGUCGAGCGAUGGAGCGAGAUGCUUGUCUCUCUGAUGUUAGCGGCGGACGGGUGAGUAACACGUGGAGAAUCUACCUAUAAGACUGGGAUAACAUCGGGAAACCGGUGCUAAUACCGGAUGAUAUUUUGAACCGCAUGGUUCAAGAGUGAAAGACGGUCUUGCUUUCACUAAUGGAUGGACCCGCGCUGCAUUAGCUAGUUGGUAGGGUAACGGCCUACCAAGGCAACGAUGCAUAGCCGCCCUGAGAGGGGGGUCGGCAACACUGGAGCGGGGACACGGCCCAGAUGCCUCCGGGAGGCAGCAGUAGGGAAUCUUCCUGAAUGGGCGAAGUCCGGCCGAUGCAGCGCCGCGUGGUGAAUGAUGGUCUUCGGAUGGUAAAGCUCUUUUAUUGGGAAAGAAGAUGGGUGGAAGUGACUGUGCAUAUCUUGACGGUACCUACUCAGAAAGCGACGGCUAACUACGUG